GACGAACGCUGGCGGCGUGCUUAACACAUGCAAGUCGAACGGAAAGGCCCUGCUUUUGUGGGGUGCUCGAGUGGCGAACGGGUGAGUAACACGUGAGUAACCUGCCCUUGACUUUGGGAUAACUUCAGGAAACUGGGGCUAAUACCGGAUAGGAGCUCCUGCUGCAUGGUGGGGUUGGGAAGUUUCGGCCGUUGGGGAUGGACUCGCGGCUUAUCGGCUUGGUGGUGGGGGAGUGGCAUGCCAAGGCUUUGACGGGUAGCCGGCCUGAGAGGGGGACCGGCCACAUUGGGACUGAGAUACGGCCCAGACUCCUACGGGAGGCAGCAGUGGGGAAUAUUGCACAAUGGGCGGAAGCCUGAUGCAGAAACGCCGCGUGCGGGAUGACGGCCUUCGGGUUGUAAACCGCUUUCGCCUGUGACGAAGCGUGAGUGACGGUAAUGGGUAAAGAAGCACCGGCUAACUACGUG
rnacentral:rRNA from 1 species